UUAAAACCGAUGAUGGAAACAAGGAGCUUUAGACAUCCUCAGAGAGCCGAUGGUUGGUGUAAAUCGGCGAUGAAUAAGCUGGCUUGAGCGUUCCUGAGAUAUUUCGCUGAACGAUAGAGUAGGCGUAAAUCGGAUGAUAUCCGUUACCAAUCAUGGUCUAUACAGACCGUUUGAGGCUGCUCCCGGGCAGCGAAUAAGGGUGGUACCACGAAUAACUCUCGUCCCUUAC
rnacentral:ncRNA from 1 species